CCUACGGGUGGCAGCAGUGGGGAAUAUUGCGCAAUGGGCGAAAGCCUGACGCAGCGACGCCGCGUGAGGGAUGAAGGUCUUCGGAUCGUAAACCUCUGUCAGCAGGGAAGCACGGUCACUGUGCUAAUCAGCAGUGAAUUGACGGUACCUGCAAAGGAAGCACCGGAUAACUCCGUGCCAGCAGCUGCGGUAAUACGGAGGGUGCGGGCGUUAAUCGGAAUUACUGGGCGUAAAGCGCUCGUAGGCGGUAUGUCAAGUCUAGGGUGAAAUCCCCGCGCUCAACGUGGGAACUGCCUUUGAAACUGGCAGACUGGAGUGUGUGAGAGGAUAGUGGAAUGCCAGGUGUAGGAGUGAAAUCCGUAGAUAUCGGGAGGAACAUCAGUGGCGAAGGCGACUAUCUGGCACAUAACUGACGCUGAGGAGCGAAAGCGUGGGUAGCAAACAGGAUUAGAUACCCCAGUAGUC
rnacentral:rRNA from 1 species